AUUGAACGCUGGCGGCAAGCCUAACACAUGCAAGUCGAACGAGUGGCGGACGGGUGAGUAAUGGCUGGGAAACUGCCUGAUGGAGGGGGAUAACUACUGGAAACGGUAGCUAAUACCGCAUACCAUCGGAUGUGCCCAGAUGGGAUUAGCUAGUAGGUGGGGUAAAGGCUCACCUAGGAGACGAUCCCUAGCUGGUCUGAGAGGAUGACCGGCCCCAGUGGAACUGAGACACGGUCCGGGCUCCUCCGGGAGGCAGCGGUGGUGAAUAUUGCACAAUGGGCGCAAGCCUGAUGGAGCCAUGCCGCGUGUAUGACGAAGGCCUUCGGGUUGUAAAGUACUUUCAGCGGGGAGGCGUUACCCGCAGAAGAAGCGCCGGCUAACUCCGUGCCAGCAGCCGCGGUAAUUC
rnacentral:rRNA from 1 species